rnacentral:rRNA from 1 species
UACCAGCACCCCGAGUGGUCGGGACGAUUAUUGGGCCUAAAGCAUCCGUAGCCGGUUCUGCAAGUCUUCCGUUAAAUCCACCUGCUCAACAGAUGGGCUGCGGAGGAUACUACAGGGCUAGGAGGCGGGAGAGGCAAGCGGUACUCAGUGGGUAGGGGUAAAAUCCUCUGAUCCACUGAAGACCACCAGUGGCGAAGGCGGCUUGCCAGAACGCGCUCGACGGUGAGGGAUGAAAGCUGGGGGAGCAA